UGCUUCCGGGCUCUUCCAUUUGGUCUCAUUUGCUUCCAAGAGAAUCUUUCGACCUCUUUCUUAGAACCACGAAACAUCCUCCUCUCUUCAACAGCAUCUCCUUCCUCCUCCUCCAAUGGACAACAUCUCCCCUCCGGGCUCCUCCCUCAUUCCUUCUCCUCCGUUGGACAACAUCUCCUCCACUCUUUCUCUGGCAUUCUUUUUUUGGUUUCUGAAGUAUCUAUGUGAUUUAUGUUCGUUCCAAGACAUCAUGACUUCAGUAGACAUCUGAUCUCCAUCUUUUCUUUGUUCAUGCAGUUGAAAGAUUAGGUGGACAAGAAAGGGCAACUCCGAAGUUGGUUCUUCAAUUGAUGAAUUUUAAGGGUCUGGGAAUAACUCAUGUCAAGCGCCAUCUUCAAAUGUAUAGGAGCAAGAAGAUGGAAAACCCCAAUCGAGGUGAACAAAUUAACAAAUUGCACACAGGCUCAUCUACUCUUCCAAUAGUUAAUACAAAAGUUAAGGUUUACAUAUUUAUAAACUUGAGAGAUCUUGCUUUCUUAUUAUAUGACAGAUCCAGCAUAAUAGCUCCAAUCAAACGCAUAGUGUCUAUUUUAAUUUUCUCAGUGUGAAUUGGCCAUUUCUCCUUUACAAAAUGGUGCACAAAAAUACUGGAGAGUCGGAAUGUGAAACCAAUUUAACUCUCACUUAAAAGCAUAGAUAAUUUCAGUGUUAUACAGCUGCAAGUUAUGUUUUACUUAUUCUUUGAACCCUUUACUUCCCUUCUAAGUCGCCAAGUCCCCAGACUGUUCCAAGGGCUAGGAGGUCAUCCUUGAGCAACCUGGCAUGUGGAUUUUAACAACAUGGGCAUUGAAAUUCAAGCUCAGGCGGUACCCCUAUUUCAAAGAAAAUGAGACCACUUGAAUAUGGAUUGAAGAUGAGGAGCACCCAGAGAUAUUCGAGGUGCCUAUUCAGUUUCUGUUGUGCCGUUUACUGCCUUUGCCAAGGUAUGCUUAUACGUGCUUUCUUGGUGGUUUUGAUGUUGCCAGUGUGAUUUUUUUAAUAAGCAUUAGGUUGUUGGAUAUCAAAUGGGAGAAAAAGGUUUUACAUUUGGUUAAUCAGGUUGUAUGAAUGUGGGGUAUUCAUGUGUUGCUACUGUUGAGUUGUUUUUGGUGGCAUGUACGGUUUACAAUUGUGUUAAGGGGGUAUUGUUAUUGUUAAUUAUAUGAUAAUAUUGGUGGUUUGAUUUGUUUUUAAUGAGAAUUGAGUAUUAAUAGGCUCCGUUUAUGAUGCCAAACUCAACAUUUGAGAGACGGAGGUAGAAGUUUAAUUGGAACACUUGGUUAGUUUGUGUUACUAAUAAAACAGUUGUGAUACUAAUCUAGAGCUACUUUCAUAUUGAUUCAUCAUCAUUGAUAAGUUUUCUUUGGACCCUAUAGAAAUCAUAAUUAACUAUUCACUAAUAUGCUGCUUUAUUGUCACUGACUCUUUAGAUUGGGAAGCACCAUAUUAUUUCCAAAUGAUUAGUUUGAUAGGUACUUAACAAUUUCCCAAGGCAUGAGGCACUUGCUUUUUUUUUUUGUGUGUAAAAGACUAAUACCAUGCGUCCAUGAUAACUAUUAUAAUUAAGAACCAAUUUGUUUAAAAAUACCUCAAUUAUUGAGAACGACAUAUAUGUCCUUGAUAACUAUUAUAAUUAAGAACCAAUUUGUUUAAAAAUACCUCAAUUAUUGAGAACGACAUAUAUGUCCGAUUAGUUUGAUUGAAACUAAUAAUUGUUCAAAUUGCAAAGAAAAUGAAACAUUCUCUCUCUCCUCUUUCUCUCUCCUAUUGCAUUUGGGUUUAUCCCUGUUUCUUUUUUGGUUGAUCUAAUUUGGGGUGAAGUUGAAUUUUGGUUGAACUAGAAUGUGGAUUUAAUUGUGUUUGGUUUUGUUUGUCAAUUCUAUUUUCGUAUGAUUGGCGUGUGGUUUUUCAGACCUUUAUGGCCAUUUUGGGUCUGGCAAAGGUACUAAUUUUACUCUUCAUUCCACCACUUUCAUUUGAAUGCCUGGAAAAAUUUGGAAUUGAAAACAUGAUUGGGUUGUAUUAGUUUUUGUGAAGAUUACUUCUUGAUUUGAGGUGUGUGAAAAUAUAUUUUGAUGAUUAGGAGAUGAGAGUACACGUUUUCGCUUCUAUCUGGACAUUCAAGAACCACCAAAUUGCAUUAUGUUUUCAUCACCGAAUUCAGGACAAGAAAGCUGUACAUGCCUCAUGUAUUACGUAUAAUCACUUGCUUACAUUCUGUUUCUCAUUUGUACCUAAUUGGUUCAGAUUUUUGUUUUUUUAUAAAUAGUAAUAUGUUCUAUGACAAGCUGGCUCUGUUUCUGAUUUCAUUCUUAUUUUGGAUUUAUAUAUAAACCUGCAAGCAUGCAGUUGAUUAGUAUAUUUGGUGUUUUCCCUCUUAAUGGACAAACUUGCAGUUACAUAAUAUAUAAGUUUGGUACGAUC